rfam:Hepacivirus hominis isolate P8_Baseline_Ivory_Coast polyprotein (POLY) gene, complete cds; and protein F-like (POLY) gene, complete sequence
CCAAUACCGGCUGCGUCCCAGCUUGACUUGUCGAGCUGGUUCGUAGCCGGGUACAGCGGGGGAGACGUUUAUCACAGCGCGUCUCGUGCCCGACCCCGCUGGUUCAUGUGGUGCCUACUCCUACUUUCCGUAGGGGUAGGCAUUUACCUGCUCCCCAAUCGAUGA